UAGCCUAUACUAUAUAAGAGAGUUCGCUGGAAUCCGUCGGCCAUUCUCCGGAGCGCUGCCGCCGGGGAUAUCCCGAAGAGCUCGAAGCAGCCGUCCUCCAUCUCCCGCUGCUAUCGAUAAUGGUUGCUUGAAUCGGGAGAUGAGACUGCCACUCCCCUAAGGCAAUAAUUUUUUGGACUCUUGACCAUCACACCAUGCUGCUGCACUGGCAAAUCAAUCCAAAACCAAAAGCCAUGCCUUAACUGAAGUUGUGCAGAACUGGUAAAGAAUUUUGAAUGUUGAUUGUUGAAUGUAUCUUUUAUGUCAAUGUUUUAUUCUUUGAGUUAUACUCCAAGAGCAAACUAACCAUCAGAUUGAAUUUGAAUGGCCCCUCCAUCAAAAAUAAAAAGUUUAGGUUCUUCAUUCUUGAA